rnacentral:rRNA from 1 species
UACAGAGGUCUCGAGCGUUAGGCGGAAUCACUGGGCUUAAAGCGUGUGUAGGCGGAUUGCUAAGUACCUUGUGAAAUCCCACGGCUUAACCGUGGAACUGCUUGGUAUACUGGCUGUCUUGAGCCACUUAGGGGCGACCGGAACAAACGGUGGAGCGGUGAAAUGCGUAGAUAUCGUUAGGAACGCCAAAGGUGAAAACAGGUCGCUGGGAGUGUGCUGACGCUGAGACACGAAAGCCAGGGGAGCAAACGGG